rnacentral:lncRNA from 1 species
GUAUUUUAAAGAUUAUGCAAUCUCUACUUUAGUUUUCCCAGAGAACUUUACUUCCUUCCACAAAGAAUCACAAAUUAGGUACAAAAUUAUGAUUUCUGUGUUUUUUUUUUUUUUUUCAGAGCCUGGCCAUAGUAGUGGGAAAGAAGAUGGAUAAAGUUCUUGUUAAUCUAUUGAUGAAAGAAUGAUGCUAAGUUUUUCAAGGCUUCCAGAGUCACGGGAGGAGUCACUUGGUAAAUCCAGGAGCAGAAGCGAGGUUAAGUGACCAGCCUAAGGUAAGAGCCAGAUUUGGAGCUUGGAAUCUGUUAGUCCUUAGGGUGCUUUAUUCCCUGAGCCAAUCCACACUUCUACCUCUGGAAGGGAAUCAAUUGAGGGCUCAGCUUUUCCUCCGCAAGAAACCUGCUCUCCCGGAUAGUAAGUCACACCCCCUGUGAAAACAUCUAAAAAACCUGUUUAUCUUUGUUACCGCUUCAUGCCAUCCUAAGAGUACAGAGUGAUAGCCUCUUUGUGAGGGAAGUCUAUUGAAUGCAGGCUGCUGUGGGAUGCCCUGAGUCUGAUUUUCAGUGGACCACUCUGUAUUAAUCAUGUUG